AAACUACAAUGUGGGCACUUUCUAAGAAGUUCCUUGUACCUUUCUCAUGCAUCGUACAAGGUUUCCCCAUUGUACUGAGUGAAAGUGUAAAUAUCCUUCAAAAGUCU
rfam:Gossypium raimondii Chr08_contig_18, whole genome shotgun sequence.